AUCUGUGAACAAAUCACGCUGAAUUCUCCCGAUCUCGUCAGAGCUCAGAAGCUAAGCAGCCAUGAGCCUAGGUCAUACUUAGAUGGGUGGCCACCAGGGUUUGCCGGGUGAUGCAAGUU
rnacentral:rRNA from 1 species